AUUUGGGUUUCGUAUCCAUUACCAAUAAUAUGGGUAAAGUUUACCAAUAAAUAUUGGUAAAAUUCACCCAUAUUCUUGAUGAAGUGACUUUACUCAUAUAUGGGUAAAGACUGUUUACCCAUAUUUGGAUGAAAAAAAUAAUAUUUUCUAGAGGCAGCACCGAAAUCGGCCAUUCGCUCGGUUCAUCAAAAAUAAAACAAUUGUUUUAGUUAACUAUUCUCGGAAUUAUUGGAGAACGUUGAGGCAAAUUUGAAAAUUACACAACGCCUAGGUGAAGAGGAAGCAGGUGACCUCUGAACAGAAAAAAAAAAUCCUUCGAGGUGGAUUACGGUUGGAACCAGUUGAAUCAGCAGGAUUCUCUGCAAGUGCUCUCGUGUUGGAUUUAGCACCGCUCGAUGAGCUGAAUUUGAGCGUCUCAGUGGAACACGCCCAGCAAUCCACCGGAGUGCAAAUAAACCGGAGACGCACGUUGACCGUGAACGAAUCGUCUAGGACUCCGCUCCCCCUGAUGCCAAAUUUCAAUAGGCCGGCCGGAUGAUGCAAACCGCCCGUAGAAGAAGGAAGUGGCAUUCUCGUUGUAGAAGUGUUCUGUCUAUGCCUCGGCUCCCCCGAGAGCAGUUGAAACCCACCCGAACCAGAGUGGGAGCGGGAAGUAAACCGACACAAGUGGCUCAAGUCCGGACAUUAUUAGAACCAGGGAGGAGUUUGCAUCAAUAUCUGAUUUGUGCAUUUCACUCCCGGUCCUACCCAUCCUGGUCGAGAUACUGGCCUCAAACGCCCAUACGAGCAAGCGCAAGAGUCGACAAACUGCAUCAGCUGGCGGACCCUCCGGAGCGCAUUGUCCGGAAGAAAGCAGCUCCACCAUCAGGAAGCUAUUCGCGAUCCUUUCACCAUUGAUGUUGCUGCACGAUCCAGUCUUUUCCUAUGUAAAACGAAACGCCGACCCAAUCGUUAAAAUCAAUCACCAAAACCCUGCAUGUAUUUUUUUAUUAAUAUUUUUCUGUUUU